UUUCCAGGUUUGCGGUUUUCCUGCCAAAUUGGGCUUGUUUGAAAAUCCAUUCGCAGGUGAAAAUUCAAGGAUGGCGGGCUGCGUUUUUUGGGCUACUUUAAAAACUAGCUACUUUGGGCUACUUUUUUGUUGGACAUGGCAACCCUGCCUGGCUAUGUGAAUCAGCUCUUCUGUGUCAGAGUCUGCAGAAUGGAGCUCAAACUCCAAAUGUGAACUGAGUGGGCACCUUUACUAAGCAAAAUGUCUGCUCCAUCAAAAACAAACUGUAUUACCUCACAAUAGACCCAACUACAUCAGAUGGGGAAGUCAAUAAUGCCACGCGAGGAGGCCAAACUGGAGGAAGGGAGCAAAUGCUAGGCUAAAAGCUAACAAGGCUAGCUACAGUUUUCAGCUAGCUAGGUAACUGUUAACUGUACACCAUGACAGGAUCCUGAGAGGACACAGAAAGAGUACAACACUAUCUGACAUUUUAAAGCUGUGGCCAUUUAGCGGAGGAAAUCAGUUUAACCAAAGGUUGAUAUAAAUGCAGCAGUGAGAAGGUGGGACUUCAAAGAAAUCCUUUGAACAUUUAUUUUGUUCACAGGAUAUACACUGGCAUGGAAGAGUGAGAAGGCACCAGCUGAUAAACCGAGGUUCAAGGGCACAAAGAAACAUUCCUUCUUUCUUUCAAAGUGCACAGAGCAUGCAAGACUGAAUGUGUGCACAUGCUAGCAUGCCAUGCAGGUAGAGGCAAGUGUAUUCAAGUGGACCAAUGAAAAAGAAGACUCAGAGUACACAUUCCACUCCCCAGCAUGCAAAGCUUGAUUUUUUUUGUAUGUCUUACAUGAUCUCCACAACUCACAGUUCACAUUUAAAAGAUGUCAAAAAUAUAAAUAACAAUCAACAGCCAUUCAGCUUCCAGGCUGUAGGGAGAGGGCGUGGGAGGGUCAAUAUUUAGAUCUGUGCAAGCACAUUAGCCAAACAUGAAGAAAUUUUUUUUUUGUGUUGUAUUGAGCUACAAAUGCUGAUGAGGUUCAUGGCGUUUCAUCAGAUUUUCAUUAGAUUUAAAAUGUGUUUUUUUUUUACACUAAUUUGACCCUCGGUUUCCAGUAAUUAAGUCUCUCCCCAUUCAAAGAGAUAUUGAUUACUGGUCUUUCAUAAGCAAAGAUAACUACCCGAUGACGCUGAAAAUAUGGCUGGUAAUGGAACAGACUUGCUUGUAAGGACUUGUGGCUCCUGUAAGCCGUAGUGGUGAUGCACGCCAGUCAGAGCAGAGCUUCUCUUUUUUUCCACCGCAGGUUUUAUUCUAAGACGAUAUAGUCUUGUAAAACUGCAUCUGGAUAUCUUUGCCCCAACCAAAGUCACAUACUUUAGAGCACCUCCACAUUAUAAGUCAGUAAUUAAAUGCAAAUUAGGCCUUUGAGGCAAAAGUGAUGAUGUGGCAAUAUGAAGACAUGAAUGGGAUAUCACUUUUUACUCCUUUAUAUUCUAAUCACCAACCUAUUAAAGCCCUUCAAUCUGCCAAAAUGCCUUUUUCUGUUGAGAAAUAAAUGAGGAAGAGUGAAAUAUUAAAAUUCAUUUGCUGAAGCUUGUUUUUUUUUUUUUAGAAUAGUCUGGCUGACUGUGGCCGAGUUAAAUAUUAGAAAUGCAUCACGCUGACACUUUUAUUAUAAUAUUGUGAAAAUGGAUUCAAUUAGAAACAGAUGAAACUAUAAAAGAUAGAAUUCCUUUCUAAGCUUAUACAUGCUUAGAAGUCAUUUAAACUAAAAAUAUUCAAACCUUCAGGGCUCUAAAACUAACUCUUAUCAAAUUUUCCUUUUUUAUCUAAUCUUUACCUGUCCUGCUGUCUCUGCAGAUGUAACAUAUGCAUUGAAAUAGCAUAAGCAUGAUAUUCUUUAGCCACUGAUCUGCACUACACCGCAAUUCUCUCCUCCUGCUGGUGCUGUUCCAUGAGCCGGCCUGCGGACAGCCCGCUCGGCCAGAACAGAAUGUGCAGCAGUGGUUUAGUCUCCACUGUACACGUCACCUCCUCCUCAGCGGUGAGGCUGAAAGCUGGUACUGGGAGUGGCCCUGCCACAGACAGCCCAUGCUGUACCCACUCCAGCCCUGCCAUGCUGACAUUACACCCACUUAACAGCUGCAGGAGAAAGUUACAGACAAUGCGACCUCUCCAUGCUCACCAUCCCAUUCCCUCACUCCAUCUGUCUCCCAGUCAUUAUCCUCCGCCGGGACUGAUCCCCCACAUUUUCCCCCACGUUUUCAUUUUGGUCCUGUCAAUCUCUUAAGGAAGUAAGUCAAGGAAGGAAAGGAUGAGCAGCCAUUGUGUUUCAGGAGCAUGCAUCCUCCUGAGGAGCCUUUCUCCUUCAGUCUCUAAAGUGUUUCUGGGAUUCCUCCAAGACAGACUCAAUUACAACUUCUUUUCAUUGUUUAUCUGGUAUUGUUAAUUGUUAGUAUUGUUAACUACGCAAGCAAUUGAUUUGAAACAUGAUUAAAAAAUUAAAGCGAGAGCAAUCGCAACCUAAUAGCAGAAAUAAUCUGGAUAUAUUGUUUUUAUAACCAUAUAAACCAGAAUUUAACAAAAACGUAUGUAUAUCAUCAAUCUGUUCUUGUGCCUGACUAAUUGACAACACUGGGUUAUGGAAAAUCUGCAAAUCUCACUUUUAAAUGUAUCUUUCACAUUUUUACAUUCUGUUUUUUCUUUUUAUUUCUUUCUUGGGUGGCACGUGGCUUAGUGGUUAGCACAUUUUCCUCCCAGCGCUGGAGACUUGGGUUCAAGGAAUCUGAUUUCCUUUCACAGUCAUACAUGUAGAUCAAGUAAAUUGGAUGCUUUAAAUUGCCCAGAAAAAAUAGAUACUCUAAAUUGUUCUGGUGUGUGGGUUUAAGUAUGUGUCUUUGUAUGCCCAGAUAUGGAUUGGAAUUCCUCAGUGCCUGAUGCAGUUUUCCAAGUGGGGGUUGUUUCCGGUUAAGAGUAGGGUGUGUGUGAUUGGCUGCCAUUUCUCACUGUGUGUGUGGAUGAGGAAGACAUCAACCAUACAUCUGGGAGUGCAAACCCACCAGAAAUUUCUAAAAGAGCACUAGUUGUUCUAAAAAACAACUAAGCCAUAUAAAUAUUGGAAAUAUUUCUGCUAAAAUAAAAGACUGAGCUAAAUUUCUCCA